AAAUGAGUGAAUGCGUGUUUAAGGCGGCAACAAGGUGUCUGUGAUUGUGAGAGCAGCAGAUGAUCUUUGGUGUUUGUGGCUGCAGGAAGCAUGUCUUCCCUUCAGUCUCUGAGAGAGUUGAUCAGCGAGCGACUAGCUGCUGUCACACAUUCUGCUAGUGCUCAGGUGAGCUGACACCUGUGCUCAGGUGAGC
rnacentral:lncRNA from 1 species